rnacentral:rRNA from 1 species
UACGUAGGCAGCAAGCGUUGUCCGGAGUUACUGGGCGUAAAGAGUGCGUAGGCGGUCUUUUAAGUUUGGUGUGAAAUCUCCCGGCUCAACUGGGAGGGUGCGCCGAAAACUGGAAGGCUCGAGGAUGGGAGAGGCAUGCGGAAUUCCUGGUGUAGCGGUGAAAUGCGUAGAUAUCAGGAGGAACACCUGCGGUGUAGACAGCAUGCUGGACCAUUUCUGACGCUGAGGCACGAAAGCGUGGGUAGCAAACAGG